rnacentral:rRNA from 1 species
AUGACAUCUCUCCUAUACUUCAGUCGACCUAUUGGUCCAAUGUGUGUUAUGAUACUGGCAGCAGCGAGAGUGAGUCGGACACUGUGGUGGAGAAGCCUGAAGACGAAUCAGAUUUUGAUUUGGGACAAGGAACUGCAAGAAAUGGAGGAUUACUUGAAAGAGAAUACGUGCGACACUGUAAGCGAAGUGAUGGAUAAAAUUUUCGGUGUAGGGUGUUCCAGUCUAGCUGCUAAGUACGACAAUAUGUCAGCUGCCGAGCGUGCCGAUAUGACCGCUCGACCUUCCUAUUUUUGUAAGAGGCCUCCCGUAGGGUGGCCAUCUUCUCCAGCUGAUUCAGAAACCCAGUCCCUUCAGGCAACAGAACAAGCUUCGAGGAAUGAACCAUCGCGGCAGUAUUUGCUACGUCGACAACCAAGGUGUGAAGUUCCUGACGAAGAGAUUAUUCAAAAUGGGAAAAAAUGGAUGACUAAGGAGGUGAUGUUGGCAUUCGAAAAAUACGCUGAAAGAAAUACUAAUCUCAAGGGUCUUGAGUGGCAGAUUGAGGAACUCUGUCACCAAUGCUUUAAUGUGGAAUACCAUCACAAAGUUUUCCACCAUUACAAUUUCACUGUAAAGAUUGAGGGCCCUAGGUCAAGUGAUUCCAGAGUGGCAUUGUUCUUCGCCGAAGUGAAAGAGAUAUUCGGAAGAAAAUACUAUUUCUGCUGCCCUCUAGAACCAAAUGAAAGUGGUCAGUGUUAUGCAUGCCAUAACCAAGGAGUUGAUGAUCUAAGGCAUCCAGCUACAGGUGGAUAUGACCGGGGUUCUCUGGAUAUCGCAUUCCCAUUUAUUUGUAUGGAUUAG